GACACACUUGGCUGAACGAGGACACGGAUUUACAUAUUGUUGUUGUAACUUUUAUGAGACACUUUUUGGUUAGACCUAGUAGAGAAAGGUUGAUGUAUAUAUGAGACAUUAAAAAUACCGAUUACAAACAUGGUGUCAGGUGUGAAAGUCGAUUAAAAUCAGCCCACAACAGCAGUAACUAGAGAAUAGAACCGGUUCGAAGCGAAAUCCGUGUACGAUCACGACCAAAGACGUGAAAUAAGCAACAUAAACAUGCCAGAUACAAGCGGUGAACAGCAAGCCGUUGCUCAAGCUACAACGUUAAAUUUUACAUCUACUUUCCCGGUACCUUCCCCGAUGGUUUGCCAGGGAGAUAAAGUAGCCAACUGGGAGUUUUUCAAACAGCAGUGGGAAGAUUACGAAGUCGCCACUGGCCUAGAAAAGCGAGAUACGAAAAUUCGACUAGCCACGCUAUCAAAUCAAUCAAUCAAAUCAAAUUUAUUUUGCCAAAUUAAUAUACAUAAUAAUUACGAUUAACACACACGCACACAAACAAAAAAUAUUUAUAUAACAAUAUAAAGAAAUAAAGGCAAGGUAGCCCAAAAUGAAACCAAGAGGCUUAUUUUAUAUUGGGCUCCUUUUUCACACAAUUAAAGCUGAUAGAUCAGUGGUCAGUCACACAGAAUAUAAAUCCAAACACAGAAUUAAAUACAAGAAAGAAAUACAAGAAAAAAAAGAAAGUAACCAAUCACAAAAAAUAAAAACACUCACAAACGUCAAUAUCACAAUGUAAAUAGAAAACUGUUUAAUUUAGAAAAGAAUGACGUAAUACUAGGUGCACUUCGUAUGUCAUCACUUAAUGAAUUAAAAAAUUUAGGAGCUUGAUAAGCGACAGAAAAUUUUCUAAUAUUAGUCCUACAGAACGAUAAUUGGUACAGAUUAGUCGACCGUGUGAAAUAAUUAUGAACUUGGUUCACAGGUAGGAAGAAAUUGUCAAAACUUCUAGGUAGUAAGCCGUUGUGAUAUUGAUACAUGAAUUUUCCAAGAUGAUGCAAAUAAAUCCAAUCGAACUUAAGAAUUUUUAACUUAAUAAAAAGCGGAUCAGUAUGUGCAUCAAAUGGUUGUUUAUCGAGUAUCCUAAUAAUACGCUUUUGAAGUAGAAUAAUACGAUUAAGAUUAGUGGGGUACGUAGAACCCCAUACAGUUAUACAAUACUGUAAGUAAGGGUAAAUUAGAGAAAAAUAUAACUUACGUAAAGUAGAUUUGGACAGGAAAAAACUCGCUUUGUAUAUAAUACCUACAGAUUUUGAUAUUUUCCUGGCAACGUAAGAAAUAUGAGGUUUCCAGGAAAUAUGUUCAUCUAGAAUAACUCCAAGGAAAACAACCUCUUUUGCCCUAGUGAUUUGAUGAUCAUUUAUUUUCAAAGAUAAAUCAAUAUCAAUUCUUUUUUGUCUCGAUUUAAAUAUCACGUAGUUAGAUUUCUUUAAAUUUAACGACAACUUAUUGGCUUUAAACCAUUCAGAUAUUUUGUCAAUUUCAUAAUUAACAGUAUUUACAAGAGAUGAAAAUUUUUGGUGAGAAAAAAAUAUAUUGGUAUCAUCGGCGAACAAAAUCAAUUCAAGGAUAUUGGAAACAUUACUUAAGUCAUUAAUAUAGAGGAGAAAUAAGAGUGGCCCAAGAAUAGAACCUUGAGGCACUCCGCACUGGAUAAUCGACUUUGAAGAAAAGGUUUCAUUAUAUUGAACAAAUUGUACACGGUUGCUAAGGUAACUCUUCAUCCAAUUGAAAGCUACUCCCCUGAUACCAUAGUGAUAAAGUUUAUCAAGCAAUAUACUGUGAUUUACCGUGUCAAAAGCUUUAGAAAGAUCAAGAAAUAUUCCAACUGUAAACUGCUUUCUAUCUAUGGCUGAUGUUAUUUUAUCACAUAAGUAAGUUAAAGCAAGAGAAGUUGAAUGAUUUUUCCUAAAGCCAUAUUGGUUGUGAAAAAGAAUAUCCGAUAUAUUUAUGUAUUCCAUAACCCGCUUGUAAACAACUCUUUCAAAUAUUUUUGAAAAUAUUGGUAAAAUCGAUAUGGGUCUAUAGUUUUGGAAAAUCCUACGAUCACCGGAUUUAAAUAGGGGAAUAACACGAGCGAUUUUCAUAUUAUCAGGAAAAUAACCCGAAGAAAUAGAUAAAUUAAUUAUAUGAGCAAGCGGUCCUGAGAUUAAGUCAACAGAAUCCUUCAAGGCAGAUAUCGGAAUAUUAUCAUAACCAGCAGCAGUCCCGGAUCGUAGUGAAUUAAUUAUAUCCGAUACUUCCAGCUGGGUAG